UACGUCCAUAUCACGUCGAAAAACCGGUUUCCGUACGUUCACUGAAGUUAAACCACAUCGAGCCUGGUUAGUACCAAGAUGGGUGACCGCUUGGAAAUACAGGGUGCUGUAA